rnacentral:rRNA from 1 species
GACGAACGCUGGCGGCGUGCUUAACACAUGCAAGUCGAACGGUUAAGCGCUUUCCUCUUUGGUUGGCGUGGAUGAGUGGCGGACGGGUGAGUAACACGUUCGUAACCUGCCCUCUUCUUCUGGAUAACCGCAGGAAAGUUUCGCUAAUACGGGAUAUUCUGCGCCUGUUGCAUCGUGGGUGUGGCAAAGAUUGUGCCUUUGGGUGUUUUCGGAGGGGGUUGGGGUCGCGGCCUAUUACCUUGUUGGUGGGGCGAGGGUCUACCAAGGAGGUGACGGGUAGCCGGCCUGAGAGGGGGGACGGUCACACUGGGACUGAGACACGGACCAGAAUGGGAGGGGAGGGAGGGGUAUGGUAGAUUGCACGCUGAGGGCAAGCCUGAUGCAGCGGCGCCGGGUGAGAGAGGGAGGCCUUCGGGUUGUGAACCUCUUUCGCAAGAAAAGCAGGACUGCUCCUUGUGGGUGGGUUGACGGUAGCUGGAUAAGAAGCGCCGGCUAACUACGUG